AUAUGUAGCUUGGUUGGUAGAGUACUUGCCUCAAGUGCACAAGGCCCUGGGUUAAAUUCCCAGCAAUACA
rnacentral:tRNA from 1 species